rnacentral:rRNA from 1 species
CAAGGCGAUGAUGGGUAGGGGUCCUGAGAGGGAGAUCCCCCACACUGGUACUGAGACACGGACCAGACUCCUACGGGAGGCAGCAGUGAGGAAUAUUGGUCAAUGGGCGCAAGCCUGAACCAGCCAUGCCGCGUGCAGGAUGAAGCAUCUAUGGUGUGUAAACUGCUUUUAUACAGGAAGAAACACUCCCUCGUGAGGGGGCCUGACGGUACUGUAGGAAUAAGGAUCGGCUAACUCCGUGCCAGCAGCCGCGGUAAUACGGAGGAUCCAAGCGUUAUUCCGGAAUCAUUGGGUUUAAAGGGUCCGUAGGCGGCCCUGUAAGUCAGUGGUGAAAUCUCCCCGCUCAACGGGGAAANGGCCAUUGAUACUGCAGGGCUUGAAUUAUUGGGAAGUAACUAGAAUAUGUAGUGUAGCGGUGAAAUGCUUAGAUAUUACAUGGAAUACCAAUUGCGAAGGCAGGUUACUAUCAAUACAUUGACGCNGAUGGACGAAAGCGUGGGUAGCGAACAGGAUUAGAUACCCUGGUAGUCCACGCCGUAACGAUGGAUACUAGCUGUUCGGGGCAACCUGAGUGGCUAGGCGAAAGUGAUAAGUAUCCCACCUGGGGAGUACGUUCGCAAGAAUGAAACUCAAAGGAAUU